GAGUUUGAUCCUGGCUCAGAGCGAACGCUGGCGGCAUGCUUAACACAUGCAAGUCGCACGAAGGUUUCGGCCUUAGUGGCGGACGGGUGAGUAACGCGUAGGAAUCUAUCCAUGGGUGGGGGAUAACACUGGGAAACUGGUGCUAAUACCGCAUGAUACCUGAGGGUCAAAGGCGCAAGUCGCCUGUGGAGGAGCCUGCGUUCGAUUAGCUAGUUGGUGGGGUAAAGGCCUACCAAGGCGAUGAUCGAUAGCUGGUUUGAGAGGAUGAUCAGCCACACUGGGACUGAGACACGGCCCAGACUCCUGCGGGAGGCAGCAGUGGGGAAUAUUGGACAAUGGGGGCAACCCUGAUCCAGCAAUGCCGCGUGUGUGAAGAAGGUCUUCGGAUUGUAAAGCACUUUCGACGGGGACGAUGAUGACGGUACCCGUAGAAGAAGCCCCGGCUAACUUCGUG
rnacentral:rRNA from 1 species